UUGGGAGCUCUCCCAUAUGGUCGACCUGCAGGCGGCCGCGAAUUCACUAGUGAUUCGUAUUACCGCGGCUGCUGGCACGAAGUUAGCCGGGGCUUCUUCUGCGGGUACCGUCAUUAUCGUCCCCGCCGAAAGAGUUUUACAACCCUAGGGCCUUCAUCACUCACGCGGCAUCGCUGGAUCAGGGUUUCCCCCAUUGUCCAAGAUUCCCCACUGCUGCCUCCCGUAGGAGUCUGGGCCGUGUCUCAGUCCCAGUGUGGCUGGUCGUUCUCUCAAACCAGCUACCGAUCAUCGCCUUGGUGAGCCGUUACCUCACCAACUAGCUAAUCCGACGCGGGCCCCUCCAACAGCGAUAAAUCUUUCUCCCUAAGGACGUAUUCGGUAUUAGCCGCAGUUUCCCGCGGUUAUCCCCAACUGCUGGGCAGGUUCCCACGCGUUACUCACCCGUUCGCCACUCCCCUUGCGGGGCGUUCGACUUGCAUGUGUUAGGCAUGCCGCCAGCGUUCGUUCUGAGCCAUGAUCAAACUCUAAUCGAAUUCCCGCGGCCGCCAUGGC
rnacentral:rRNA from 1 species